rnacentral:misc_RNA from 1 species
GAGCGCUCUAGGGCUGAGUCAAGUAUGAAUGCUUCGGCACUGAAAAGGUUUGUGGACGAAAAUCAGAGGUUGGCGGUGGAGUGUUCGAAUUUGUUGGCUCAGUGUAAGAGGUGGGAGAAAGAGUGCGCUUUGUAUGAUCAUGACCGUGAGGCAUUAAUGGAUUUUGGAAACGAGGCAGAUGAGAGGGCAAAGGAAGCUGAGAUUCGUGUUCAUGACUUGGAGGAAGAGGUUCGAAAGUUAUCUGAAGAAUUGCAUUUCUACAAGUGUCAAUAUGAGACCCAAGUGGAUGACACAGCCACAGAUGAUGCUUCGGUGGAACAGAAUCUGC